UUUCUUAAUGCUUCUGUCUUAUGUGAUCAUUCAACUUUAAUGUCCCGCUCUUUUAAUUUUUUUCUGGCAGAAAAUUCGGUUUUAUUUCUCUCUGUUUGAUUGGAUUUAGCAUAUAGAAAUGCAAGAGCAGGCGGCAAGCUCCCUCACUGUGAGCUCUCUGCCUUCCAGCAGCGAAAGGUCUUUGAGCUCUACAUUCCAUCUUGAAGUUAAAGAAGGUUUGAUUUUUCAACUCGUUUUGUAGUUUUUUCAAGUUUCUUUUCCAGAAAGUAUAGCUUUGUUUGUUUAAAUUUGUGUACUUGUUUUUUAAUCAGAAGAAUUUUGAGAUUUCCCACCUGGGUCUUGUAAAACCCAGGAUUUUCUCAGCUGGGUUGUUGUUAUUUCCUGGGAAAAUGCUUUUUUCGGAUGAAAAAUCUUCUAUUUUUACAUUGUCUCAAAUAAAAAGGAGAAAGCUUUGUUUAAUAAGUAUAGCUUAUUUUGUUCGUGGUUGACUGUUUAUCUUUGCAAAUCGAAAGAACUUCUAAUUUCCCAUCUGGGUUAUGUAGAAUCGACAAUUUUCUCAACUGGGUCGUUAUUUGUUUCCUGGGAAUUUUUUUUUAAGAGCUGGCUUCACACCUGAAGGAUUUUUCUGAAACAGAGAAGGGAAGUAAGAGUGAGAGAGAAGUCUCAGAAUUUGGAAGUCUUCGAGUGGGUUUUGAGAAAAAUGGGAAGACAGCAUGAGAAAGGGGAGGGUAGGAUUGGAAAAUUGAAAAGUUCAUUGACCUGUUACUAUUCACCCAUGUUUUGUUGAAAUAAAUUGAUUUUUUAAGCUGCUUUUUUCAACUUUGGACUUUUAGCUUUUUUUCACCUAUAACUUUGAAAAGAAGCUGAUUUUAAGUGUUUACUAAACACUUAACAUGUCCUAACUUUUUUCAUACCUACUUUUAUAAAAAGUUAAGCUAAGCCUUACAAUGGGUUAACAUUGCGAUUUUAAGCUUCACCAUUGGUCAUUUUUACUAACGCCGUUUUUUUUCUCUCGUUAAAUCUAGGAGUAUUAGGAACUUGAACUUAAAACUUCAAAAAACAAUAGAAGAAGCUUAAAAAAAAUAAAUAUUUAAAAAUCAAUAUCUAUAAUUUUUUUGUUUUAACAAACGAUAUUAUCUACGAGGGUGGGGAUAGUGGGUUACGCCUCACAAUGGGCUGGCAAAAUGAAAUUUGAAGUGUAACAAUACAAAAUGAAACUAGUUGGACUUUAGCAACUUGUAAAUAUUAGACAAUGCAAUUUUAAAGUUGGUAGGAGAUUGAACUCUGCUAGACUUAAACAAAUAAGAAAUCACAUAUUGAACUACGAAAAAAUUUAUUCAAUUUUCUUAAUUUUGUGGAUAAUUUUAGUUUUCUUGAAUUGUGUGGUUUUGGGUGCUUUUGAUUUGGGAUGAGUUUCUUUGGCAUCUAAUUAUUUAAGUAUUUUGGUCAAGAGUGUCUAUUUUCAUAAAUUAGUAGUUGCUAAGUCUUACUCGUCGGGUGGUGGGUGAUGAGCAUCGUUGAAAUUGUCCAUUUAUAUAUGUACUUUGUUUGCAGUUAAUCAAUAUAAAUACAACAAAUAUAUCCUCAAAUGACUCCGCCAUGACACUAGCCUGGUGCACUGGGCUACAAUGGAAGUACCCUCAAAUGACUCUGCAAUGGCAGUAGCUUGGUGCUUUUUUCUUCAAUGCCAAAUUGAAAAAUUUCCAUCUAUAUGUAUUUGAUUCUAUCUGUAAUAAUGAAAUCCUGGUAUAAAAUUAGUGAUUACAUAUAAUCGUUAGUUUUUCCAUAUGCCUGGACACCUUUUUUGUAAUAAAUGAUAAAGAUGUUCAUCUCAUUUGUGCUAAUCUUCAAAGCUUCGUUGCAG
rnacentral:lncRNA from 1 species